UACGUAGGGAGCAAGCGUUGUCCGGAAUCAUUGGGCGUAAAGCGCGCGUAGGCGGCUCGAUCAGUCUGUUGUGAAAGUCAAAGGCUCAACCUUUGAAUGCCGAUGGAUACUGUCGAGCUAGAGUCCGGAAGAGGCGAGUGGAAUUCCUGGUGUAGCGGUGGAAUGCGCAGAUAUCAGGAGGAACACCAACGGCGAAGGCAGCUCGCUGGGACGGUACUGACGCUAAGGCGCGAAAGCGUGGGGAGCGAACGGG
rnacentral:rRNA from 1 species